GGCUUCGUAGCUCAGCGGGUAGAGCGCUUGCCGCGUAGAGGCAUGGUGUUUCUGUCGCUGGUUCGAAUCCAGCCGAAGCCC
rnacentral:tRNA from 1 species